UACGUAGGGGGCAAGCGUUGUCCGGAUUUAUUGGGCGUAAAGAGCGUGUAGGCGGCCAGACAGGUCCGUUGUGAAAACUCGAGGCUCAACCUCGAGAUGUCGAUGGAAACCGUCUGGCUAGAGUCCGGAAGAGGAGUGUGGAAUUCCUGGUGUAGCGGUGAAAUGCGUAGAUAUCAGGAGGAACACCGGCGGUGUAGACGGCUUUCUGGACCGUAGCUGACGCUGAGACACGAAAGCGUGGGUAGCAAACAGG
rnacentral:rRNA from 1 species